GUUGUUGUGGCCGAGUGGUUAAGGCAAUGGACUAGAAAUCCAUUGGGUUCUUCCCGCGCAUGUUCAAAUCCUGCCGACAAGGAUCA